rnacentral:misc_RNA from 1 species
GCCUGGAUCCAGAUCAAUGUCUGCCAUGAAUUUGGCAUCGUGGAAUUGUUGUCGUACCUUUUGGGCAUAUUCAUCACAGGUUGGUCCCACUGGAACUACCAUUACCUGGCGAGGGGACAGCCAAAAGGGCCAUUUGCCCCCAUAGUUUUCUGUGAGGAUAGCAAUCAUUCUUUCCACUGAUCCCAAGAUGGCUCGAUGAACAAUCACUGGCCUUUU